rnacentral:rRNA from 1 species
GACGAACGCUGGCGGCGUGCCUAAUACAUGCAAGUCGAACGAGAGCGACCGGUGCUUGCACUGGUCAAUCUAGUGGCGAACGGGUGAGUAACACGUGGGUAACCUGCCCAUCAGAGGGGGAUAACAUCCGGAAACGGAUGCUAAAACCGCAUAGGUCUUCGAACCGCAUGGUUUGAAGAGGAAAAGAGGCGCAAGCUUCUGCUGAUGGAUGGACCCGCGGUGCAUUAGCUAGUUGGUGAGGUAACGACUCACCAAGGCCGUGAUGCAUAGCCGACCUGAGAGGGUGAUCGGCCACAUUGGGACUGAGACACGGCCCAAACUCCUACGGGAGGCAGCAGUAGGGAAUCUUCCGCAAUGGACGCAAGUCUGACGGAGCAACGCCGCGUGAGUGAAGAAGGUUUUCGGAUCGUAAAACCCUGUUGUUAGAGAAGAACAAGUGCUAGAGUAACUGUUAGCGCCUUGACGGUAUCUAACCAGAAAGCCACGGCUAACUACGCG